GUCCGUCUAGCUCAGUCGGUAGAGCGCAAGGCUCUUAACCUUGUGGUCCUGGGUUCAAGUCCCAGGGUGGGCG
rnacentral:tRNA from 1 species